rnacentral:tRNA from 1 species
AGGCUCUGGGGUGUCACACGUGAGGUCGCAAACCUCAAGAAGCAGGAUAGACCCUGCCGGGGCUUC